rnacentral:rRNA from 1 species
UACGUAGGGAGCAAGCGUUGUCCGGAAUCAUUGGGCGUAAAGCGCGCGUAGGUGGCUUCAUAAGUCCGUUGUGAAAGUCAAAGGCUCAACCUUUGAAAGCCGAUGGAUACUGUGAAGCUAGAGUACGGAAGAGGCGAGUGGAAUUCCUGGUGUAGCGGUGGAAUGCGCAGAUAUCAGGAGGAACACCAAUAGCGAAGGCAGCUCGCUGGGACGUUACUGACGCUGAGACGCGAAAGCGUGGGGAGCAAACAGG